CAGACCGGGUGGAGAAGAACGGGUGAUGGAAAGUCAAGUUUGCGAAAGAGUACGAAGAGGGCGGGCUGUAGGGCGAGCUGUAUCCAGCCUCUGAGAAUCACCACCUCCAGACAGACUAGCCAACGCAGGCCUGUCCGAGAUGCCGAGCGAAGAAGCAGUAUGGAUGUUCCUGGGGAAAUAAAAACCAGCCGUGCCCAUCAUCCACCUGGAGUCA